ACUGAAUGCACCGAGACCAGGACAACUCCCUGCUGUGUGUGUCUACUAUGUGGCCUCAACUAAGUCUGAGACUGGAUUCACCCUCCUGAAAGCAGUGAACCAAAGUGCUUCACUUAACCUGCUGCAGCUUUCUCAUCUGGCUGUCACUCUGGCAACCCAAGGAUCCCCAAGUCUGCUUCGCCUUGUUCAGCGCUUUCCGGGAAGUUCAUCUCCCCAUCAGCCAUUCAUCACCACAGAAACAGUCGUACCACAUGGGGUGGUGUUUAUCUGUCGCUACGAGUUGAGUCAUUGCCGGGUACUGAGCAGGCCAUUCUAUAAUGGACAAGAUGGAAAUGUGAUCAACAAUUUAUAAACAAGAGAGAGAGAUUAAGUCGAAAUCAAUUCUUAGAGUUUAGGGAGGGUGAAGCACCAUCCAGAUCAAAUUUAUGAAUAAAAGUGACAAGUUCCCCAUCAAAAGUCACACAUUCUCAGUAUGUGAAUGAGACCAAGGCUACCUGCAGUAUGAAGAAGUACUUUAAAUGCUGCACGCUCAAGCUGAUUACACAGCCCUGCAAGACAUAACGUUAAGUCAGAGGAACGACUGUAGAACAUCUGUCUCCGUGGCAUUUAGUCCCUUCUGUGUUCUUCAUGACAGUUAUCAGCUUAUUGAUGUAGAGAGGAGAUUCUGAUGCUUAACUAUGGUUAUCUAAAUACUGUAUUAAACAGAUUUCUUAAGCAUACUAGAAUCUUUGACUCCUGCUAUAAAAUUCCUUACAUGUCAGCCUGCACUGCAUCUCUCAGAGGGACUUGUAAAAAUAUCAACUGUUUAUGAUAUUUGAUUAUUAUGCUUCAUUUAUGAUGAAGAAAAGUCAUGGA